CACCGUCACCCAAGCGGGGCCUCGACUCAUUCCCACGACUUCCCACCGUCCGGACUGGGUCACUGCUUCCUCCGCUUUGGUGAGUUUCCCCAGUUCCGGGGGCAAUUCCUGCCAAGUCGACGCCUGCCGCCUAGACGCUCGCUCUGACAGCGGCUGUGGAGCAGAGAGACAGUGGAAGACAGUGCUGUGGAAGACAGUGUUGUAAUUCUGACUACACCGCGAAGGCGCAGUGCGAGGAGACCUGGCCGAGGACGUCGUGCUGCGCUGGAAACGGCUUCGGAGAACUCAUCGCAGGUUACUGUGUCGAUCAUCCAACCGCUGAAGGGCUGCUCUGUGCCGGGCGCUAAGGCAAAGGCACUGUUACAAACUGCAUCGUCAUUAGCACCCCAUAUGUAUGAACCACAUUUUAAUUUUGCAACAGUCUCUGAUAAGACUGGAAAUCUACAGAGAAGUUAUGUUGCUGCACAGAAGUCUGAAGCAGCAUUUCCAGAUCAUGUGGAUACACAACAUUUAAUGAAGCAAUUAAAGCAGCAUUUUGCUAUGCUUUGAUCAUUUUUUAGACCAAAUAUGUACCUAUGAAAAGGCAUUAUACUGGGGGAAAAAAGUAGUGUGUGUGUGUGUGUGUGUGUGUGUGUGUGUGUGUGUGUAUAUGU